CGGCGGACGGGUGAGUAACGCGUGGGUAACCUGCCUCAUACAGGGGGAUAACAGUUAGAAAUGACUGCUAAUACCGCAUAAGACCACAGCACCGCAUGGUGCGGGGGUAAAAACUCCGGUGGUAUGAGAUGGACCCGCGUCUGAUUAGCUGGUUGGUGAGGUAACGGCCCACCAAGGCGACGAUCAGUAGCCGGCCUGAGAGGGUGAACGGCCACAUUGGGACUGAGACACGGCCCAA
rnacentral:rRNA from 1 species